CAUUUAAUUUUAGCCCAGUACAGCUCCCUUAGUACUCUAUUUGAGUGGAAAGGGGCAAUCAAAAUUUAACAACGAAGCUUACCAUACAAAAGAAAAGAAAGAAAACAUCAAAACAACUAAAGAAGCUGUUUUGAUGUCAUAUUCAAAUGCUGAGGAUCUCAAAAUUGAGUGGGAAAAGGCAAAAGUUGUUACUAAAGUAAGGGAUCCAUAUAAACUACCCAUUGCAAAAACUCUAGAAAUUUUAAAGAGAACACAAAAAGAACACUUAGUUAAUGAUUUUCUAAUUAAUUCACCUAAUGCCUGCAUUUACACUAUGGAAAUGAUACAACAAACAUCAUUAAGAACACAGUGAUCUAUCCCUAAAAUGAUAUAGACUUUCAUAUAGCUGUAAUAUACCGUAUAUACUCGAAUAUAAGCCAAUCCGUGUAUAAGCCGACCCUCCGACUUCAGAGUUUAAAAAUCGGUAAAAAUGCAUAACCCGUGUAUAAGCCUAC
rnacentral:lncRNA from 1 species